UACGUAGGGCGCAAGCGUUGUCCGGAUUUAUUGGGCGUAAAGAGCUCGUAGGCGGUUUGUCGCGUCUGCCGUGAAAGUCCGGGGCUUAACUCCGGAUCUGCGGUGGGUACGGGCAGACUAGAGUGCAGUAGGGGAGACUGGAAUUCCUGGUGUAGCGGUGAAAUGCGCAGAUAUCAGGAGGAACACCGAUGGCGAAGGCAGGUCUCUGGGCUGUAACUGACGCUGAGGAGCGAAAGCAUGGGGAGCGAACAGG
rnacentral:rRNA from 1 species